rnacentral:rRNA from 1 species
GACGAACGCUGGCGGCGUGCUUAACACAUGCAAGUCGAACGGUAAGGCUCCAGCUUGCUGGGGUACACGAGUGGCGAACGGGUGAGUAACACGUGGGUGACCUGCCCUGCACUUCGGGAUAAGCCUGGGAAACUGGGUCUAAUACCGGAUAGGACCGCACCGUGAGGGUGUGGUGGAACGUUUUUUCGGUGUGGGAUGGGCCCGCGGCCUAUCAGCUUGUUGGUGGGGUAAUGGCCUACCAAGGCGGCGACGGGUAGCCGGCCUGAGAGGGUGGACGGCCACAUUGGGACUGAGACACGGCCCAGACUCCUACGGGAGGCAGCAGUGGGGAAUAUUGCACAAUGGGCGGAAGCCUGAUGCAGCGACGCCGCGUGGGGGAUGACGGCCUUCGGGUUGUAAACUCCUUUCACCAUCGACGAAGGGUUUCUGACGGUAGAUGGAGAAGAAGCACCGGCUAACUACGUG